GUCGCGGUGGCGAAAUUGGUAUACGCAGGAGACUUAAAAUCUCCUGGGAUGACCUCCCGUGUGGGUUCGAGUCCCACCCGCGACACAA
rnacentral:tRNA from 1 species